rnacentral:rRNA from 1 species
GGCGAGUGAAGCGGCAACAGCUCAAAUUUGAAAUCUGGCCCUUGUGGUCCGAGUUGUAAUUUGCAGAGGAUGCUUCUGGCGCGGUGCCUUCCGAGUUCCCUGGAACGGGACGCCACAGAGGGUGAGAGCCCCGUAUGGUCGGCCGCCAAGCCUGUGUGAAGCUCCUUCGACGAGUCGAGUAGUUUGGGAAUGCUGCUCAAAAUGGGAGGUAAAUCUCUUCUAAAGCUAAAUACCGGCCAGAGACCGAUAGCGCACAAGUAGAGUGAUCGAAAGAUGAAAAGCACCUUGAAAAGGGGGUUAAACAGUACGUGAAAUUGUUGAAAGGGAAGCGCUCGUGACCAGACGUGCGCCAGGCGGCUCAUCCGGCGUUCUCGCCGGUGCACUCCGCCUGGCGCAGGCCAGCAUCGGUUCUCGCGGGGGGAUAAGAACGGUGGGAACGUGGCUCCCCACGGGGAGUGUUAUAGCCCGCCGUACGAUGUCCUCGCGGGGACCGAGGUUCGCGCAUCUGCAAGGAUGCUGGCGUAAUGGUUACCAGCGACCCGUCUUGAAACACGGACCAAGGAGUCGUCCAUUAGAGCGAGCGUUUGGGUGUCAAACCCGCACGCGUAAUGAAAGUGAAACUUAGGUGAGAGCUUCGGCGCAUCAUCGACCGAUCCUGAUGUUCUCGGAUGGAUUUGAGUAAGAGUUUUAACGGACGGACCCGAAAGACAGUGAACUAUGCUUGUAUAGGGUGAAGCCAGAGGAAACUCUGGUGGAGGCUCGCAGCGGUUCUGACGUGCAAAUCGAUCGUCAAAUAUGAGCAUGGGGGCGAAAGACUAAUCGAACUGUCUAGUAGCUGGUUACCGCCGA